UUUUUGUACACUGUGAAGAUGUGUCUUUGCCAAGAAGCCUAUUUAAUAAAAAGCCAAACAGCCAUUAGCAAGGCAGGAGGUAUAGGCAGGACAACCAGACACAGAGGAUGCUGGGAAGAAGAGAGGCCGGGUCUCCAGGAGACACAGUGAGCAAGACAUGUUGGAGAGCAGAACUAGGAUUUUAGAGUGUACCAUGACUCUAUGUCCUGGAGCUCUCCUCCGCUAACCUAAGACAACCAGUCCAUCAAGCUGAGUGCCUCCGUUUCUGAGCCCCACAACACCAGGCCCUCAGGAGACUCGCCCGCCUGAAUCCAGAGGAGCAGAAGUCCCGAGCCCGAACCUGCAGGCUGCUGCAGGAGAGAUUCUGAAGAAGUUCAUUUUUGGGCAAAUGGAACUGAGGGACUACAUAAGGAACAGAACUUGGGACAAUGUGGUUCUCAGAGGAGACACAUUGACGAGAGAACAAUUCAGCACAGGUAACUAAUCAACUCAAGGUAAGACAUUAUUUAGUAUGUGAAAUAAUGCCCAUCUCAAGGAAUUCAGGCCAUUGGAGGAGCUAGGCACCCAGGAUGAAGUGGUCUGAAAGCCUCCAUCCCAUAGCUUUAAUAGGACAACCUUCUCU
rnacentral:lncRNA from 1 species